rnacentral:lncRNA from 1 species
UGAACAAGAAGGGCUAUAAAUUACAGCAGCACGUUUAGUAGGGAUGUGGGAUCAUAGCAUAGCAACAAGUCAGCUUCUUCUUUGCUUAUGUUCUCACAGAAUUUUGAAAAAAGAGACAUAAGCACUCCUCAUGUUCUGAGUGCGAUUCAAACAUACUAAAACACCAUUCUUUGAAAUAUAUUAGAUACCUGCUGGAAGAGCUAAAAUUGGCAUAUGCAACUUUUGUAUCAGUUUGCUUCAUACAACAUUUAGAUAUAGUGUGUCUGCUGAAAGAAUGAGAUUGUGCCAUUGUUACAAAGUCCAAGGAGAUGUAAGCAGAGGGAUGUGGACCUAUCCGAAGUGAGCAGUCACCAGUGUUCCAGUCAACACUUUUUUUUGUCAGUCUUCAUGAGGUAAUGUGUAGUAUUACAGCACUCCAGUUCAGCUUCCCCACAUCUUUGCCUAUGUUAAAUUAAUAUACAAAAUACAGAGAUUGUCCAGUUCUGGGAUUUGGAAUAAGAAAGGGGGAUUUAGAUUUUAUGAUUGCUGGAGCUAUUUGCUGAGAGAACAUAAUUCAGAUGAGGCAUCCAAGUUCUGAAGAGAGAACAUUCUUUGAAAUGGCCUGAGGACUUGGAAGAACUGAGGAGGAUUCAAAGUACAGCUACAUUCACUUACUGAAGCUCUGUGUCACUUUAGAUGCUCAUUCUACUACAUGCAUUUUUUGAAGUUAAGAUGAAGAGAAGGCAAGCUAACUGGGUAAAAGUUUAAGAUUUUACUCAGAUGUUACUAUUAAGUGAGAAUGGUAGGA